UGGGGAAUAUUGGACAAUGGGGGCAACCCUGAUCCAGCAAUGCCGCGUGUGUGAAGAAGGUCUUCGGAUUGUAAAGCACUUUCGACGGGGACGAUGAUGACGGUACCCGUAGAAGAAGCCCCGGCUAACUUCGUGCCAGCAGCCGCGGUAAUACGAAGGGGGCUAGCGUUGCUCGGAAUGACUGGGCGUAAAGGGCGUGUAGGCGGUUUACACAGUCAGAUGUGAAAUCCCCGGGCUUAACCUGGGAGCUGCAUUUGAUACGUGUAGACUAGAGUGUGAGAGAGGGUUGUGGAAUU
rnacentral:rRNA from 1 species